UACGAAGGGGGCUAGCGUUGCUCGGAAUCACUGGGCGUAAAGCGCACGUAGGCGGCUUUCUAAGUCAGGGGUGAAAUCCUGGAGCUCAACUCCAGAACUGCCUUUGAUACUGGGAAGCUCGAGUCCGGAAGAGGUGAGUGGAACUCCGAGUGUAGAGGUGAAAUUCGUAGAUAUUCGGAAGAACACCAGUGGCGAAGGCGGCCCCCUGGCCCGAUACUGACGCUGAGGCACGAAAGCGUGGGGAGCAAACAGG
rnacentral:rRNA from 1 species